CGUUUGAUCUCCAGCUUGGUCCCGCCACCGAACGUGACUUUUAUUUUUGUACUUUGCCAACAGUAAUACACUCCAGCGUCCUCAGCCUCCACCCGGCUGAUAGUG